GGGGGCGUAAAGGUUUCGACGGGGAUUUUGAGGUGCAUCAAGCGGGUAGAGACGGACAGUCUCUUUAAAAGGUCCGAUCUUAAAUUUAAACGCUAACACUAACAAAGUAGCACUUGCUGCCUAAGCAGCCAUCCUUCAGGAGAGUAUCGCGGCUUCUGAAAGGGUGUGACAUGAGCGGUGAACGUGAACAACCUUUUGGCUUUUGAAGUUGUCAUGAAUUAAAGAGCUACCGAAUUCAUUUCCUAUCUGCCGGAGAUGAACAGAGGGAAUCCUGAAGACAGACUGCACCCGGAGAAAGAUGCAUCAAGGGGUUUUCG
rnacentral:tmRNA from 1 species